UAUUGAAUAAAACAAACAAACAAACCUAGC
rnacentral:piRNA from 1 species